rnacentral:rRNA from 1 species
UACGUAGGCAGCGAGCGUUGUUCGGAGUUACUGGGCGUAAAGGGUGCGUAGGCGGCCUUUUAAGUUUGGUGUGAAAUCUCCCGGCUCAACCGGGAGGGUGCGCCGGAUACUGAGGGGCUAGAGUGCGGGAGAGGAAAGUGGAAUUCCUGGUGUAGCGGUGAAAUGCGUAGAUAUCAGGAGGAACACCUGCGGUGUAAACGGCUUUCUGGACCGUAACUGACGCUGAGGCACGAAAGCGUGGGUAGCAAAC